CCCUCCACGCCGAAGUGAGAGACAAGACCCGAGGGUGGCUUCGAGCUGCCACCCAGGGCUGGUGCGAGCGCAGCUCAGGCAGAGCCGUGCCCGGCGGCGCAGCGCUCAGCACCCAUCCUGCAGCCAGAGCCGGACCCGGAGCCGCGGCUCUGCCGGGCCCUGUUUGACUACAGCCCAGAGCUGCCGGAUGAGCUGCCGCUGCGGCAGGGGGAUGUCAUCCAGGUGCUCAGCAAGCACACAGGGGUCGAGGGCUGGUGGGACGGGCAGUGCCGGCACCGGGGAGGGCUCUUCCCCAGCAACUUUGUGGAGCUCCUGCCGGUGUCCACGCUGAAGCCAGCGAUGCCAUCCUGGGAUGCGGAGUCCAAUGAGUCCGGCCAAGAUGGGCACCCAGCCCCGGUGCCCUCAGUGUCCCACCGCGCAGCCCCACGGCCUGGUGUGAGGUGGGUUGGGGCAGCCCAGGAGCCGGCGGUGCCGGGGGGCAGGAGGAGCCCCGUGGGGAGUGAGGAUGUGGCAUGGACCAGCACCGAGAUGCUCUCGACUUCAACUUCCUUCCCAGCGCGGUUUCCUCCGGCGUCACGUGCGCGGUGUGGGGUCGCGGCAGCUGGGGGAGCCGGGCACAGCACCGCGCCGCUCGGCCUCAGGGGCAGCCCCGCGCCGGCAGCAGCCUGUAAGACAGCGAAGGACGAGGAGGGGGAGCACCUGAAGCUCGCGGCACCGCUGGGGAUGGAGCCGGCCAAGCAGCCCCCCAGCAAGAGGAUGGCUCCUGCUCCCCCCGUCCCUGCCAAGGCCAAACCAGCCCCUGCAAUGACAAGCAAGCCCGGUGGCCCCCAGCCCUGCGCCUCAGACACGGAGCGGGGCAGAGCCGGUGAUGCAGAUGCUGAUGGCUUCAAUGUGGUGCCGGUCACCACGGCCCGGCUGAGCCACCCCACGGCCACACGUCCCCGGGUACCAGGCCAGCGGCCGCCCAGCCUCACCCCGGGGGGCGCGGGGGGUCCCUGCAGUGGGGACCAGCCACGGGGGACGCCCCACACCAGCGCGGGGCAGGCGCCGGCCCCACCGUGGAGCACGGAGGUGCUGGUGGCGCCGUGUCCAAAGGAGACGCUGGCCCUGGAGCACCUGAAGGCAGAGGUCCGGUCCCUGCACCUCCUGGUGGACCUGAUGCGGGUGCAGCACCUGCGGGACCUGGAGGACGUGAGGCUGGAGCUGGGGCAGGAGCGGGCCAAGCGCCAGGCUCUGCAGGCAGAGAUCGAGCUGGUGAGGAAGGUGCUGCCCUGCUGAUCGUGGCCGGGGGCUGCGGUGCUCCGGGGGGGCUCAUGGUGCUGUGCCCGGUUCUGCACUGGUUGGGGUGCAGGAUGCCCACCCCGCAGCCCAGCGCUGUGUUCUGUGGCACAGCGUGGCCCCGAGGCCGGACAACAGCCCCAUGGCACAGGGAUGGUGUUUGAAAUAAACUGUUCUGG
rnacentral:lncRNA from 1 species